rnacentral:lncRNA from 1 species
AGGGGGUAAAGGAAAAAAGGGAUAGAUUUUAGAUACAGAUUAAAUAGCAUUGGAUCUCUAGAAAGAACUACCUCAUGCAAACUCAAUAAUUCAAUGUGAUUGACCGUGUAUAGUGCAUGCAUGUGCAUUUCUUCAAGAAUCUUAUCCCAAAUAUAUAAUUGAAAGUGAAAUUCCUUUGGUGCAAAAGCCAACUCUUCUAUUUGGCUUUUUGGAUCACUAUUUCACAUGCACAGCGUUUUCUU